rnacentral:rRNA from 1 species
UACGUAGGGCGCAAGCGUUGUCCGGAAUUAUUGGGCGUAAAGGGCUCGUAGGCGGUCUGUCGCGUCCGUUGUGAAAACUCGAGGCUCAACCUCGGGCUUGCAGUGGAUACGGGCAGACUAGAGUGCGGUAGGGGAGACUGGAAUUCCUGGUGUAGCGGUGGAAUGCGCAGAUAUCAGGAGGAACACCGAUGGCGAAGGCAGGUCUCUGGGCCGCAACUGACGCUGAGGAGCGAAAGCAUGGGGAGCGAACAGG